rfam:Micromonospora yangpuensis strain DSM 45577 genome assembly, contig: Ga0070617_12
ACGGUGGCCCGGUACGCCGUGGCCACCCCGGACGAGUCGUGGGCGUACCCGGUCAGGCCAAGACGCCCCGCG